rnacentral:rRNA from 1 species
AUUCCAGCUCCAAUAGCGUAUAUUUAAGUUGUUGCAGUUAAAAAGCUCGUAGUUGGAUCUUGGGUCGUAAGGGUCGGUCCGCCUACUCGGUGUGCACCUGCCCUUCCGUCCCUUUUGUCGGCGGCGUGCUCCUGGCCUUAAUUGGCUGGGUCGCGGUUCCGGCGCUGUUACUUUGAAAAAAUUAGAGUGCUCAAAGCAAGCUUAUGCUCUGAAUACAUUAGCAUGGAAUAACGUGAUAGGAGUCUGGUCCUAUUGUGUUGGCCUUCGGGACCGGAGUAAUGAUUAAUAGGGACUGUCGGGGGCAUUCGUAUUUCAUUGUCAGAGGUGAAAUUCUUGGAUUUAUGAAAGACGGACCACUGCGAAAGCAUUUGCCAAGGAUGUCUUCAUCA